UACGUAGGGUGCAAGCGUUUAAUCGGAAUUACUGGGCGUAAAGCGUGCGCAGGCGGCUAUGCAAGACAGAUGUGAAAAUCCCCGGGCUCAACCUGGGAACUGCAUUUGUGACUGCAUGGCUAGAGUACGGCAGAGGGGGAUGGAAUUCCGCGUGUAGCAGUGAAAUGCGUAGAUAUGCGGAGGAACACCAAUGGCGAAGGCAGCCCCCUGGGUCGACACUGACGCUCAGGCACGAAAGCGUGGGGAGCAAACAGG
rnacentral:rRNA from 1 species